GAAAAGGCUCUGAAACAGAUCCAAGAUGUUGUUUGAGCCAUGCAACUAGAAGAUCUCAUAGAACUAAAGUUAUCUAAUUUACAGAAAAGGUUUUACGUGACGUCUAUUGUACAGAUUCAUAUGAAAACCAUAGUUCAAACUCCAAGGUUUAAGAAGUAAGAAAGAUCAUGCCAUUUGCAACAAACAUGCAUGCAUAUUUGAAAAGCAACUGUAAGUAUGCUAUUGGACAUUGGUAAAGAUUGAAUAUCUGACCAUGGCAUAUCAAGAAACCAUGGAAUGAGUACUGCUUAUCAAGAUCUGGGUGUGAGAAGACUUAAAAAGUCAGAUAGUCAGUGAGAACCAGCUAGAAUCCAUGUGAAAAAGUGGGAAGAUGAAGUGUUUGGAGGGCUUUUAAAUGGAGUAAAAUGGAAACAAAGACAAGUUAUCCCAACACCAAAAAGAGUAGGGGAUAGAAGGAUAUGUCAAGGUUUGAAAACCAUCCUUCAGAAAUGCAGGAAAGUCAAAGCUAGAAAUUUCUUUUAUGGUACCCAGGAUUUGUUUUAAUUAAGUUUGAUAAGGCACACAGGCACGAACGUGAUUGUGGUUAAUAAAGGCAUUUGCAUUAUUCUCACGGUCUCCUAAAAAUAGAAGGCCCAGCACACUAUGCCUGGGAAGUAUCUGCAUGAGAUGAGCAGGCAGAGAGGAGAGCUGAGGGCAGGGCCUUGACUGGAGUUUUUGUUGGGAGGAAUGGACAAUGGAAAGCACGCAAGCCAAAUCUGUUGUGGGAAAACUAGAAGACCAAAAAAAGCACGAAAGUCAAGAAAGAAGUCUCUUUUCACAUGAAAGUGGCCUGAAGACAAAUACUGCUAUGAAUGGUUACAUCUAGGACUUCUGAAAUUAGCCCCAGAUUCAACUCAUUUUUUUCUGCAUUUGCUGAGCAAUAUGACAUGUUUACACCGAUUAGCUAAAAAGUUAUGUGAAGAAUGGGCAACAAUAUCUCUAAGUAACUAGGAGACCAUGUCCCUUGGCAUAAGUAUUGAUCUUCAAUAAUUUGUCCUUGAUAUUGAGAGAAGAGGAUCAAACUAUUUGAACCGGAUUGCUGUACUUCAACAUGUAAAGUGAAAAUGCAGACCCAGUUGACUAUAUUUCACUCAUUUGGGCCAAAGAAGCAGAAGUUUAUUAACAAAGAAGGAGAAUAACAAAAGAAAUAUAAGAUGGAAAGAAAAGCAAAAAGAAAGAAAACUAAAGAAAAAGCAAAAGAAAGAAUACUAAAUCUGAAAUACAUUUUCGUCCCCAAAUCAAGUUGGUGCAUAAAGUUCAAAUGUUUUCCUGA
rnacentral:lncRNA from 1 species